GCUGCUCCCAGUCCAGCUGCUGUGUCCCUGUUUGCUGCUCCCAGUCCAGCUGCUGUGUCCCCGUUUGCUGCUCCCAGUCCAGCUGCUGUGUCCCCGUUUGCUGCUCCCAGUCCAGCUGCUGCAAGCCCUGUUGCUCCCAGUCCAGCUGCUGUGUCCCUGUUUGCUGCUCCCAGUCCAGCUGCUGCAAACCCAGCUGCUCCCAGUCCAGCUGCUGCGUCCCCAUUUGCUGCCAGUGCAAGAUCUAAUUUUCGGUUUUACAGGGAUUCUUACUAGACCCAGCACCAUCCCUGGUCCGGAGUCCUGGGCUCCAGUGCAGCCACCCCAUCCUCCUCCCUUUCCAAGCGUGAGCAUUUUAUUGACCUCCUAUCAAAUGCGAUGGGGGUGUAUGUCCAAUGAUGACUUCCAAAGCCUCAUUCCCAGCAUCUGGAGACCCUCCCCAGCCACCUGCAGCAGUGAGUGGCCAGUCCCAAGCCCUGCCCAGCUGCACCUGCUCCCGCGAGGACAUCUGAGCAGACGACACAGGCUUUUCUCAGCUCUGCCCAUUCUGUGUCACGGCCACUCAGAUCUCUCUGUCCCUUAACCUAAUAAAGUCACUCAUCCCAGAACCCAUUGCUGUUUGCUCUAUUUGUCUGUCUACAGCCCUCUGCUGGGGUGGGCAGGGUGUGUGUCAGAAUUACACCUGUGGCCACGCUCAUUCCUGGACCUGCUAACAGCCCACCUGCCCGAGCUGCCCGUAGCGUCCUCAGCUAAUGUGGAUCUCCGUCUCCCAAAUGCUGUGUGUGUGUUUUCUACAGCCAGCUAGCUGAGCAGCCUUGAGCAAGUCACCUUUCCUCCCCGGACGUCAGUGUCCACACCUGUAAGACGGGCUGCUGACAGCACCUUCCUUGCAGGAAGUGCUCCGUGAACAGUAAAGCAGCUGCAUGAGGCGGGACUACGCUGAGCCAGCCAGCGCUGGGUUCUGCACACACCCCGGGCUUAGUGCUGAGCUGAGUAGUGCGUUGACCAAAGCAGCCAGACCAGAGCAUAGCCCCUCCUGUGUGGGCCUGGCGCUGUGCGCCUCCUGAAAGCCCACAGCAGCCCCAGUGCACCGGUGUGAAAUGGCCCGAUCCCUGAUCACGGUGAAAACCAAAGCCACACCCUCCCUCCACCCAAGCCAUCCCAGACCCGCUCACCCAGAGUCUCACGAUGUGAGUCAUAAACCCUGUCCUGCCCUCUCGGUGUCAUCAAUGCUGAUAUCCGAGCCAGUGUGGGGGCAGACGGUUCAUCCCACCUCCUGCAGGGCAGCCACAAACCAGUGACACUUCCCUGUGUCCCCACUUACAGAGCUGGGCAGCCAGGACUGAAAACCUCAAAGGCUGAUGCUGAGCCCACACUCCUACCCUCUGGAAUGUGACGGUUUGUGAUGGUGUGCAAAAAUCAAGAGAGCAAAGCUUCUACUUCCAGAGGGGAUAUAACAUUUAUGGAAGGCCCACAAUCCCAUUUUGGCAACUGGAAAAGGCCAAAUUAAUUGCAAAACCCAUAAGUAAAAACACAUCAGUAAAUUUUACACAACCAUCAUGGAGAGCAGAAUGGUAGUUCCUUCAAAAACUACAAAUAGAGCUACCACAUGACCCAGCAAUCCCACUACUGAGCGUAUGUUUUCAGAAAACCACAAUUCAAAGAGAUACACGCACCAGUGUUCAUAGAAGCAAUAUUCACAAUAGCCACGACAUGGAAGCAACCUAAAUGUCCAUCAACAGAGGAACGGAU
ensembl:lncRNA